UCCAUGGCAACAGAGUCAGUGCAGCAGCAGCAGAAGCCGCGCGCGCAGCCUGUCACACACACACACACACACACACAGAGCCGCCUCUAAUGCACUGACUGCGUCCAUUCGCUUUCUUUUUAUUUAUUUACUUAUUUAUUUUUAUUUAAAUAUUAGUUUUUUAUUUGUAAGAGCCGGGGAGAUUAAUAUUUCGGAUUGUGUAUAUUGAUGAGGAACCAGGCUUUCGGAUGUAGCGGCUCUCCUUCGGUGCUACAGUAGCUGUGACUUCAUCUGUGUCCGUCGUCCAGAGAGAGAGAGAGAGAGAGAGAGAGAUCAGAGUAACCGCCGCAUUGUGCUCAUUAUAUACAAUAAGGUGUAAAGCGCUUGGAGAGGCAGUGCCCGGUUUAUAUUAGGGAAAAACCAAAACAAACAAACAUGAGUGGUAUUGAGGAAGCCUGUCUCUGCGUGUGAAUUCCUCUGGUCGGAUGUAAAGGGUAAAAAAAUAAGAAAGGGGGAGAAAAAAGAGAGAGUCUGACUCGAGCAUCACAUCUUCACGUCUUUCACUGUCAUUGAUUUAAAGGCGCUGAGAGCGCGUGAAGGAGCGCGUGAAGAUGGCGACUGGAGCGGGAUGGCAGCAAUACUACAAUCCUGCUGGGAAAUACAGCGCUUCAGGAGCAGGCAUGGCCAUGGAGUACACCCAGGACCUGCACCUGAAGAUGAGCAAGAAGAUCGCACAGCUCACCAAGGUGAUUUACGCGCUCAAUACGAAGAACGAUGAGCACGAGGCAGCCAUCCAGACCCUGAAAGAAGCCCACGAAGAGGAGGUGCAACAGAUCCUGUCAGAGACGCGUGAGAAGAUCAUGCAGUACAAGAGCAAGAUCAGCGACGAGAUGGACCUGAAGCGGCGCAUCCAGUCGCUGGAGGAAUCCAUGGAGGUGCACGGCAGGAUGAAGCAGCAGGCGCUGGCGGAGUUCGAGUCGUACCGGCAGCGGGUGGAGGACAUGCAGCUGUGCACUGAGGCGCAGCACACGCAACGCGUGGUCACCAUGUCGCGUGAGGUCGAGGAGAUGCGGCGCUCUUUCGAGGAGAAACUGAGGGCCUUCGCUCAGGUCCAGGCGCAGUUCGAGCAGGAGAAGAGGCAGGCACUGGAGGAGCUGCGCACUGCACAUAGGCAGGAGGUCCAGGAGCUGCUCCGUUCUCACCAGAGCCAGAACGCCAACUACAGCAAAGACCAAGAGAAGCUUAGCCAGCUGCACAAGCAGGAGGUGGAGGCCCUGGCGGAGCGCGUGGAGGAGCUCAAGCAGGACAAGAAGCGCCUGGUGGAAGAGUACGAGGCCAAGCUGAGCAAGGCGCAGGCCUUCUACGAGAGGGAGCUGGAGGCCAUGAAGCGCACGCAGCAAAUGACGGCCGAGAACCUGCUGGCCUGGAAGAAGACGGAGGCGGAGCUGAGGAAGGAGUUUCAGGCGCAGGAGGCGGCGCUGCAGAAGACGCUGGGUAAGCUGCGGUCCGAGCUGCAGCGGGUUCAAGAGGAAGCCAGAGAGAGCCAGGAGAAAUCGCACAAACUGCAGGCCUCGCUCACCGCCUCCGAGGGCAACAUCAAGGAGCUGCAUAAACAGCUGGACGAGGUGACUCAGGAUGCGGAGAUCAUAGCGAUCAGGCAGAAAGAAGCUGAGUGCGAGCUGGAAGCCACCAGAGACAGAGUUCAGCAGCAGGCCACGGAGAUCCUCCUCAAAGCCAGUCAGAUCGGCAGCCUGCAGGCCACACAGAUGACCCACGAGGCGGCCAUUCGCGACCUGGAGUCGGAGAAGUCGCGUCUGAAGGACAAGGUGUUGCGUCUGGAGGAGGAGAGGGGAGCACUGCAGAAUAAGAGCCAAGCUCUGAACGACAGGCAGAGGCAGCAGAUCCUCACGCUAGAGAAGAACAUUCGUGAGGAGAAGCAGUCAUACGAGAAGGAGCUGAUGAACCUGCGGAACAGAUACGAAGAGGAAACCUCACACUUCAGAGAGACGCAGAGCCGUGCGCUGGAGGAGCUGUCCAAGAAACACCGGGCUGCCCUGGAGAACACCCAGAGCUCUUCUGAGAAAGAGAAGAACAGACUGCUGGCUGAGAUGGAGCAGCAAUUCGAGAAGGAGCGCAGUUUCCUGGAGGAGCAGAAGAAGCGUCUGCGGGAGCAGCUGGACAGCCUGAGAGAGGAGCUCACCACCAAGCUGAACAAGGCCAACAGUGAGAUGAGCCAACUUCAGGAGAUGGUGAAGGAAGGGGAGCAGGGUCUGUGCUCGGCUAAGGGACACAUCUCCAGCCUGAAGGAGGCUCAGGAGAAGCUGCUGGAAGAGCUGGAUGCCACACGGGCCAGGCUGAGGGAGACCACCAAUCUCCUCGCAGCACUUCAGGGAGAGAUGGAAACUCAGAAGCAGCAACACGAUGCCAAACUCAUCUCCACUAAAGAGGAUGAGAAGCUCAAAAUGGACAAAAUGGCUCUGGAGCUGGAGCUGAAAUGGACCGAAACACUCAGACAGGAGUGUAAGAAGCUGCGGGAGGAGCUGCGGGAGGACCACGACGAGGACAAGAGGGCUGCUCUCACACAGCUAGCUCAAUCCAAAGAUCAGGAGCUGAGCAAUGCACGAGAGAGCUGGCAGAGGAAAGUGGACGACCUGCUGGAACAGAUUUCACUGUUGAAGCAGAGUCUGGAGAUGCAGCUGUCACAGUCACAACAUUCUCUGCAGCAGCUGCAGGCUCAAUUUAAUCAGGAGCGAGAGCACCUGGGCCAGCAGCUGCAGGAGAUGGAGUUGGAGCACCAGCGAAGGGAGGAUCGUCUGCGUGAGGCCCACUGCUGCGCCAUCCAUGACCUGCAGGAGGCGUGCCAGCACGACCUCAAGGAUUUGGAGGAGCGUCUGCGCCAGCAGCAUCACAUGGAGUUGCAGUCCAUAAGAGAGGCCCACAGGCAGAAAAUCGAGACGCUGAAGCAACAGUCAGAGCAGGAGCUGCAGACGCUACGCUUCGAGUUGGAGGACGAGGGGAAAGCAAUGCUGGCGUCCCUGCGUUCAGAGCUUAAUCAUCUUCACGCCUCGGCUAUAGAGCACCUGCGGCAGACUCAUCAGCAGGAGACUGCGGCUGCCAAGCAAGAGCUGGAGAACGCCCUGGAGCAGAGCAGGAUACAGGAGCGAGAGCUGCUAAGCCGUAUCUCAGAGCUCCAGGAGGAAGUGACACGCAGGAAGAACCAUAUCGCCGAUCUGGAUCACGAGAUCCACACGCUGAACGAGAACAUAAGCGCUCUCACCAAGGAGCUGGAGCUCAAGGGCAAAGAGGUGCUGAAGAUCCGGAGUGAAGCCAACCAGCAGAUCAGGGCUCAUGAGCAGGACCUAUGUAAGAAGCAUGAGCGGGAGAUGGCCGAGCUGAACGCACUGCACAACAGGGAGACACAGAACAUGCUCUCUGACUUCAACAAAGCCCAGGAGCUCCUCAAGGACAAAAUCUCGGCCCUGCAGAUCCUGCUUGAAGGGACGGAAGAGAAAUUCAGGAACCGGGAGAGCAGGCCAGAAGAUCUGCAAGUAAUCGCUGAGCUGAAAGACAUGGUGGCGGAAAGAGAAGCUCUGGUCAAGAAGCUGGUGGAUGACAAGAAGUUCUACCAGCUGGAGCUCGUAAACCGAGAAACCAACUUCAACAAAGUGUUCAACGCCAGCCCCAACGUCGGUGUAAUUAACCCCCUCAUUAAGCAAAAGCGAAAGAAUGACAAAUCGUCCACCCGAUUCAGCAGCUCGCCCAAUCUAAGGGCCAAUGCGGAGGCUGGGGGGACGGGGAGCGGGCCGUCCCAGCCUAAUCGCCUCGAACCCAUCCCCAACUCCCCCAUUCACCAGCUGGAGCUCAACACCAGCAAGCCACUGCCCCCACCGACCCCUCCCUCCGAACCCAAGAAAUUCACGAGGUGAGCUGCACCUCUCUCCGCCACAGACGUCUCUCUCUCUCUCUCUCUUUCUCUCUCCCUCUCUCUUUCUGUCACUUUCUUUCCUUUUCUCCGUCUCUUUCUCUUUCAUUUUCUAUCUCUCUCGCCCAGUGGACGAGCACGCCGAGCACGCCAAGCACAACGCUCGCUUCCCAGCUCAUCUCCAAACAUUUCUAACCACUCGCUGCCGUAUCCCUUUUGAGAAACUGGAAAGAAUCCAAUGUGACACCGAGGAUGACUUUUCUCUGAUAAACAGAGGGCGUGAAAUCAGGAAUUAGAAACUGAAAACGCCGAUCGCGCCCCUCUGAAACAUGUCAUUAACUCCAGUAAUGAAAGCUCUCAACCUUUUAAGCGCUCCGGAUUAAAGGAAGAGGCGGAGCGAGGAUUCCUCUUCGAUCAGUAGAUUUUUUUUUUUUUUUGAGAGAGAGAUAGCGAUGAUGUCAUGGCAGAGACCCAAAUUUGGUUUCUUUCCAGAUGACAGGAAAAAAAGGGGAUACCUCUCUCGAUCUCAACCUGUAAUGUUUAUGUAUGAGUCUUUUUUUUAAAUUAUUAUUAUUAUUAUUACUCUUUUAAAUGGCAUUGGAAUGCAAAAGGGAGCAUGCGUCCCCCGCUGUCAGAGUGCACGCUGGGAGUUGGUGUCUUCCUGUCUCUGUGUGAUGUCACCUUAUAAACUGCACUUUAAGGUCAAGAAUGUCUUCAGCUUUUCAUUUCUUCUCGUCCUCUGUACUGUAUGUCCAUGUGUUUCACUGCAUUUUGAUAAACGCUGUCUCUGCCUCCUGAAAUCUGUGACUGCUCGGCAUGUUCUGUGUGUGUGUUUGGUGUGUGUGUGUGUGUGGUUUGUCGAGCAUGCGAGGCUGUGCUUCGUGUCUGGGGCGCCGCUGUGCGAUUCUGCAUGCACGCUGUCCUGAAUGGGAAUGAAGCGAGCGAGCCGGACCGCCCUACAUUGUCAUGGGACUCGUCCACCUCCUCAAAACACACACUCACAGGCUGCCAGGCUCAGAACAGGACAAGCCCUCCUGAAACAGAAGACUCGCCCCCAACCUCCCCAGAUCCUCAAAGACAAGAGUGGUUCGCCCAGUACUUCACAUUCUGACUUUCUGCAUCUCCAAAGCAUGUCAGCCAAGCCAAAAGAGGAAAAAAAAUAUCACACAGAGAUAAAUAAUUAAAGAAAAAAAAGAGCUAUAUCAUCGUCUUUACAUCCUUCUAACUGUUUUGUUUUAUUUUCUUCACUGUGAAUGGGUUUCUUGUUUGUACAGUAAUUAAUAAUAAUAAUAAUAAUGAUAAUAUUAAAAGUAGGUAUGUUUGACGUUGCAUCUCAUGGCGUAUCUAAAGGGUGGUGACUAUUCUGCUGCUGCCGAUGGCCACGGGGAUGAUGAUGAUGAUGAUGAUUUGUUAAAUGCAGUUGUAAAGUCCUUGUCCUUCUCCCUGUAUCUUAUUUUAGAUUAUUGCACCGUAAUGAGCGUUUGUUUACAGCGGCAUAAAUCCACUUUUGGUAGAAUUGAAACUGUUUGUAUGGUCGUCUCAACACAGAUACAAUGAUGUCUCGCCAAUUUUAAAAAGAAAAAUGCAUAUUUUAUAUUUAUAUUACACUGUAUGUAUGCUUACAGAAUAAAUGAUUAUUGUGAGAUUUAA